rnacentral:lncRNA from 1 species
UCAUCAUCUCCUUCGCUCGAUGCAGACGAGCAAAGCGGCCCGAACCUCCUGGUUCGAUGGAGAUUGGCAGCGGCAUAUGAGAUAGGGACGAGGUCGGGGGAAGUGGAAUGGGUAGAUCGAUUCAUGCGGGACCUGCAGGUAACAAAUCUGGCGACGAAGCUCCGGAUCGUGGCCAAGGCAAUCAGGGGUGCGGCUGGAAACUUCCUCCAUGGCAGCAACUUCUCCCUACACACAGGACAGGUGCGCGCGCAAAGGAUAGAGCAUACAGCGGGAGAGAGCUAUGGGAGGAGUUAGAGGAGGGCGCGAGGGAUGACGCUUGACUGGUCGAGGUCGCCGAUGGGCAAGGUCAUCGGAGGGGCGCGGGGUCAUAGCGUUGGCCUGUAAGGGCGUCACCGACAAGUGGAGCAUGAGGUGGUGCUCGAAGAGGUGCAGGACAAAGAGUUUGGUGCGGCGGGUACUGGCUGGAGGCGGCGGUCCCGGAUCCGGUUGCUUGUUCAGCUCUGGGCUCGGCAUACAUGGUUAUUGCUGGAGCUCAAAGGUGCACUCAGGCGUGAGGACAAGCUAUGGUCGCUGGACCUGUUUGGUUGAUGAAGUGGAAAAAACAAGGACCUGAAGUGGUUGGGUGGUUUCAGAUCUGCAGGAAGGAGAUUGUUGGCUGUCGCGGGAAUCAAGGAAGGAGUGAUUUUGGAUCGGGGAAGGUGGUGGAUCUCGAGGAAGGGGAAGAGAGUGGUGGCGGGGUGAGGAAAAUGAGUGUGUAAGCCUAGGUUUGGACUAAUUUGGUUAGGGUUAGUUUAUAUAUGAAAAAAAUGAGACUAGUUUUGGACCCUU